UACGAAGGAUUCGAGCGUUAUCCGGAUUUAUUGGGUUUAAAGGGUGCGUAGGUGGAUUAAUAAGUCAGUGGUGAAAGCCCGCAGCUUAACUGCGGAACUGCCAUUGAUACUGUUAGUCUUGAGUACAGUUGAGGUGGGCGGAAUGUGUCAUGUAGCGGUGAAAUGCUUAGAUAUGACACAGAACACCGAUUGCGAAGGCAGCUCACUAAGCUGUAACUGACACUGAGGCACGAAAGCGUGGGGAUCAAACAGG
rnacentral:rRNA from 1 species